UACGUAGGUGGCAAGCGUUGUCCGGAAUUAUUGGGCGUAAAGCGCGCGCAGGCGGUCCUUUAAGUCUGAUGUGAAAGCCCACGGCUCAACCGUGGAGGGUCAUUGGAAACUGGGGGACUUGAGUGCAGGAGAGAAAAGUGGAAUUCCACGUGUAGCGGUGAAAUGCGUAGAGAUGUGGAGGAACACCUGCGGCGAAGGCGGGUUGCUGGGCUGACACUGACGCUGAGGCGCGAAAGCUAGGGGAGCGAACGGG
rnacentral:rRNA from 1 species